rnacentral:rRNA from 1 species
CCUACGGGAGGCAGCAGUGAGGAAUAUUGGUCAAUGGCCGCAGGGCUGAACCAGCCAAGUCGCGUGAGGGAUGACGGUCCUAUGGAUUGUAAACCUCUUUUGUCAGGGAGCAAAGGGCGCCACGUGUGGCGCUUUGCGAGUACCUGAAGAAAAAGCAUCGGCUAACUCCGUGCCAGCAGCCGCGGUAAUACGGAGGAUGCGAGCGUUAUCCGGAUUUAUUGGGUUUAAAGGGUGCGCAGGCGGAAUGUCAAGUCAGCGGUAAAAGUUCGGGGCUCAACCCCGUCGAGCCGUUGAAACUGGCGUUCUUGAGUGAGCGAGAAGUAUGCGGAAUGCGUGGUGUAGCGGUGAAAUGCAUAGAUAUUAGGAAGAACACCAGUGGCGAAGGCGGCUUACUGGACUGUAACUGACGUUGAGGCUCGAAAGCGUGGGGAGCGAACAGGAUUAGAUACCCCAGUAGUC